UGCAAGUCGAACGGCAGCAUAGGAGCUUGCUCCUGAUGGCGAGUGGCGAACGGGUGAGUAAUAUAUCGGAACGUGCCCUAGAGUGGGGGAUAACUAGUCGAAAGACUAGCUAAUACCGCAUACGAUCUACGGAUGAAAGUGGGGGAUCGCAAGACCUCAUGCUCCUGGAGCGGCCGAUAUCUGAUUAGCUAGUUGGUGAGGUAAAGGCUCACCAAGGCGACGAUCAGUAGCUGGUCUGAGAGGACGACCAGCCACACUGGAACUGAGACACGGUCCAGACUCCUACGGGAGGCAGCAGUGGGGAAUUUUGGACAAUGGGGGCAACCCUGAUCCAGCAAUGCCGCGUGAGUGAAGAAGGCCUUCGGGUUGUAAAGCUCUUUUGUCAGGGAAGAAACGGUGGUCUCUAAUAUAGACUGCUAAUGACGGUACCUGAAGAAUAAGCACCGGCUAACUACGUGCCAGCAGCCGCGGUAAUACGUAGGGUGCAAGCGUUAAUCGGAAUUACUGGGCGUAAAGCGUGCGCAGGCGGUUAUAUAAGUCAGAUGUGAAAUCCCCGGGCUCAACCUGGGAACUGCAUUUGAGACUGUAUGGCUAGAGUGUGUCAGAGGGGGGUAGAAUUCCACGUGUAGCAGUGAAAUGCGUAGAUAUGUGGAGGAAUACCGAUGGCGAAGGCAGCCCCCUGGGAUAACACUGACGCUCAUGCACGAAAGCGUGGGGAGCAAACAGGAUUAGAUACCCUGGUAGUCCACGCCCUAAACGAUGUCUACUAGUUGUCGGGUCUUAAUUGACUUGGUAACGCAGCUAACGCGUGAAGU
rnacentral:rRNA from 1 species